UCCGUAAUUUCCUUGUUGUUG
ensembl:piRNA 21ur-15045 ncRNA